rnacentral:tRNA from 1 species
GCGCGGGUGGCGGAACCGGCAGACGCGUACGUUUGAGGGGCGUAUGGGGAAACCCGUGAGGGUUCGAGUCCCUCCCCGCGCA